GGGUACAUCGAGGGUAUUUUUCUCUGCACAUAUCGUCGAGGCCGGUAAACUGAUGUUGGGCAGACUAAAAUCACAAAUGGUGGCGUUUCAUUCACUCUGGAUUUCAAAACGGGUGACCCGACGAGGAUGCCAUCUAGACUGGCCGACCAACUGGACGGGGCUCUAACCCCAGUCGAAGACGAGAAAGAGGUAUUUUUAUAACGGUGUUGGUAACGUAAUUAGAUGCUGCCUGAGAAUGCGGCCAUUCAACGGUUGACGGUUUUAGCUGUAAAAUUCUGGUGAGCGGUAACAAAGAAAUUAAAGGCAUGUACAAUUUUAUCUUCGUUAUUACACUGUAUAUAUGAUAUCAGCGGGAGGUUUUACAUAUUAUUAUUAUUAUUAUUACAUGUGAUCAUAUUAUUUUUCUGAGCCCGAUUCUAUUUUUUACGUCAUGCGUUAAUGACGUAACACUACCGACGUCGUUUCUAUGAUCACGACGUUUUGAUUAAUGACGUGGAAAUUUGCAGCAUUUCCUUAGACGGCUUAGAUGAUUAUUGUGAGACAAUUCAAAAUAUUAUACUCAAAAUGGGUUGUUGUCUUGGAAAAAUUAAACCGAAAAAGAACAGUGUUUCACAUUCUAACAUGGAAGCGGAAAUACGUCAAAGAAUUUCCGGAAACUCGGCAAAAGUUAAGGCUCGUGUGCAAAUGAACUCUGCAGACAUGGUUAACCAAUUAAAGGAUGCUGAUGUUGGGCAGACUAAAAUCACAAAUGGUGGCGUUUCAUUCACUCUGGAUUUCAAAACGGGUGACCCGACGAGGAUGCCAUCUAGACUGGCCGACCAACUGGACAGGGCUCUAACCCCAGUCGAAGACGAGAAAG
rnacentral:lncRNA from 1 species